GACCACAGCAGUGCCGGUGGGAGAGCUGGCUUGGGGCGCUGGCCCCUCCUCUUACAGCUUUGCUCCUGCCAGUUUAGGAAAAGGCCCGAGAAGGUGAAGUUCUGUGUGCUCCCUCUGGCGAGAGACUUUGUCAGCUCCCGCAGAGUAACGUGGAAGUCCAAGAAUCUGAGUGGAGACUCACCGAGGCGAAGGGGCCAACCAUGGGAAAGGAGAGUGGAUGGGGCUCAGCUGCACUCCUACAGGGCUCUCCCUGGGAUGCUGGCUGAGCUGACUCCCACAGCUCCCAAAGGGGCCCCAAGGCUUCAUCCCACAGGAUUGCCCUGGCUACAGAGGAUCAAGAGGUCCAUCUCUGCCCAGGGUGCACAAUGUUGGGGAAGCCAGCCCUUAACCAAUGAUGUGAAGGGACUUGGGGUAAGUUACAGAAAUGACCACAUUCUCUGCCCUUUCAGCAUGACUGUACAGCUCCUCCCAUCAAGAGGUAGGAAUUUCUUUCCCCUCCCUUUGAAUCUCCUCUGGCCUGGGGAGUUGCUCUGUCCUGGCCGAUAGAACACGGUGGAAGUGAUGGCGUGCU
rnacentral:sRNA from 1 species